rnacentral:rRNA from 1 species
GACGAACGCUGGCGGCGUGCUUAACACAUGCAGGUCGAACGAAGAGCGAUGGAAGCUUGCUUCUAUCAAUCUUAGUGGCGAACGGGUGAGUAACGCGUAAUCAACCUGCCCUUCAGAGGGGGACAACAGUUGGAAACGACUGCUAAUACCGCAUACGAUCUAAUCUCGGCAUCGAGGAUAGAUGAAAGGUGGCCUCUAUUUAUAAGCUAUCACUGAAGGAGGGGAUUGCGUCUGAUUAGCUAGUUGGAGGGGUAACGGCCCACCAAGGCGAUGAUCAGUAGCCGGUCUGAGAGGAUGAACGGCCACAUUGGGACUGAGACACGGCCCAGACUCCUACGGGAGGCAGCAGUGGGGAAUCUUCCGCGAUGGACGAGAGUCUGACGGAGCAACGCCGCGUGAGUGAUGACGGCCUUCGGGUUGUAAAGCUCUGUUAAUCGGGACGAAAGGCCUUCUUGCGAAUAGUUAGAAGGAUGACGGUAC